rnacentral:misc_RNA from 1 species
GAUGAAGAACGUAGCGAAAUGCGAUACUUGGUGUGAAUUGCAGAAUCCCGUGAACCAUCGAGUCUUUGAACGCAAGUUGCGCCUCAAGCCAUUAGGUUGAGGGCACGUCUGCCUGGGCGUCACAUAUCGUUGCCUGAUGCCAGUUUCCUCGUGAUGGGUGACUGUGCAGGGCGAAUGAUGGCUUCCCGUGAGCAUUGUUGCCUCAUGGUUGGUUGAAAAUUGAGUCCUUGGUAGGGAGCGCCGGGAUAGAUGGUGGUUGAGUGACGAACGAGACCCAAUCAUGUGAGACCCCUACCGAAUUUGGCCUUCAUGGCCCACAUGCGUCUUUGGAACGCUCAUGACGAGACCUCAGGUCAGGCGGGGCUACCCGCUGAGUUUAAGCAUAUCAAUAAGCGGAGGA